CGGGACGGGUGAGUAAUGUAUGGGGAUCUGCCUGAUGGCGGGGGGUAACUACUGGAAACGGUAGCUAAUACCGCAUAAUGUCUACGGACCAAAGCGGGGGACCUCCGGGCCUCGCGCCAUCAGAUGAACCCAUAUGGGAUUAGCUUGUAGGUAAGGUAACGGCUUACCUAGGCGACGAUCCCUAGCUGGUCUGAGAGGAUGAUCAGCCACACUGGGACUGAGACACGGCCCAG
rnacentral:rRNA from 1 species